rnacentral:tRNA from 1 species
GAGAGAGGCCCGAAGCUGAUAGAGGCUGCUACCCCUAAACCCGCGGUUUAACUCCACGGCUCACUCG